GUCCAGGGAUGGGAAACGAACCAACAGGUUCCGCUUACCGGGUAGAUGCCAUGUCCACUAGGCUACCCUGGA